rnacentral:rRNA from 1 species
AGCGAACGCUGGCGGCGUGGAUAAGACAUGCAAGUCGAACGGGACUAAAUCUGUAGCAAUACAGGUUUAGUUUAGUGGCGAACGGGUGCGUAACACGUGGGCAAUCUGCCGAGAAGUGGGGGAUAGCUCGCCGAAAGGCGAAUUAAUACCGCAUAUGAUCAGUGAAGACAUCUUCACGACAUCAAAGCCGGGGCAACCUGGCGCUUCUUGAUGAGCCCGCGGCCUAUCAGCUAGUUGGUGAGGUAACGGCUCACCAAGGCGACGAUCAGUAGCUGGUCUGAGAGGAUGAUCAGCCACAUUGGGACUGAGACACGGCCCAAACUCCUACGGGAGGCAGCAGUGGGAAUAUUGACAAUGGCGCAAGCCUGAUCCAGCCAUGCCGCGUGAGUGAU